UAUGCACCGAAGCCGCGGCAGCGAUAUGUAAAUAUUGUUGGGUAGGGGAGCGUUCUGUAAGCCUGUGAAGGUGACCUGUGAGGGUUGCUGGAGGUAUCAGAAGUGCGAAUGCUGACAUAAGUAACGAUAAUGCGGGUGAAAAACCCGCACGCCGGAAGACCAAGGGUUCCUGUCCAACGUUAAUCGGGGCAGGGUGAGUCGACCCCUAAGGCGAGGCUGAAAAGCGUAGUCGAUGGGCAACGGGUUAAUAUUCCCGUACUGGUGGUAACUGCGAAGGGGGGACGGAGAAAGCUAAAUCAUCCGGGCGACGGUUGUCCCGGUUUAAGCGUGCAGGUGGACUGACCAGGCAAAUCCGGUCGGUUGUUAACACUGAGGCGUGACGACGAGCCACUACGGUGGUGAAGUGAUUGAUGCUCUGCUUCCGGGAAAAGCCUCUAAGCUCCAGGUUACCAUUAAUCGUACCCCAAAC
rnacentral:rRNA from 1 species